rnacentral:miRNA from 1 species
UACAUGGAUGGAAACCUUCAAGC